rfam:Balearica pavonina gibbericeps contig5069, whole genome shotgun sequence.
GCAUCUGAAUCUUUCCCACUCCUCGUGAUAAAGUGCUGGACUGGGGACACAUGAUGCAAGAGGAAAGCAGAGGAAAUCCAGACAAGCUCCCUGUCACCACAGUGGGACUUGUCUCUACGCCUUUGCAACAUUU